AGUGAACGCUGGCGGUAGGCCUAACACAUGCAAGUCGAACGGCAGCACAGGAGAGCUUGCUCUCUGGGUGGCGAGUGGCGGACGGGUGAGGAAUACAUCGGAAUCUACUCUGUCGUGGGGGAUAACGUAGGGAAACUUACGCUAAUACCGCAUACGACCUACGGGUGAAAGCAGGGGAUCUUCGGACCUUGCGCGAUUGAAUGAGCCGAUGUCGGAUUAGCUAGUUGGCGGGGUAAAGGCCCACCAAGGCGACGAUCCGUAGCUGGUCUGAGAGGAUGAUCAGCCACACUGGAACUGAGACACGGUCCAGACUCCUACGGGAGGCAGCAGUGGGGAAUAUUGGACAAUGGGCGCAAGCCUGAUCCAGCCAUACCGCGUGGGUGAAGAAGGCCUUCGGGUUGUAAAGCCCUUUUGUUGGGAAAGAAAUCCAGCUGGCUAAUACCCGGUUGGGAUGACGGUACCCAAAGAAUAAGCACCGGCUAACUUCGUGCCAGCAGCCGCGGUAAUACGAAGGGUGCAAGCGUUACUCGGAAUUACUGGGCGUAAAGCGUGCGUAGGUGGUCGUUUAAGUCCGUUGUGAAAGCCCUGGGCUCAACCUGGGAACUGCAGUGGAUACUGGGCGACUAGAGUGUGGUAGAGGGUAGCGGAAUUCCUGGUGUAGCAGUGAAAUGCGUAGAGAUCAGGAGGAACAUCCAUGGCGAAGGCAGCUACCUGGACC
rnacentral:rRNA from 1 species